AGCUUGCUAAUAAUUCUCUAGUGGCGCACGGGUGAGUAACACGUGAGUACCUGCCCCCAAGAGUGGGAUAGCCCCGGGAAACUGGGAUUAAUACCGCAUAAAGCAAUAAAGCAGCAAUGCGCUUGGGGAUGGGCUCGCGUCCUAUUAGUUAGUUGGUGAGGUAACGGCUCACCAAGGCGAUGACGGGUAGCCGGUCUGAGAGGAUGUCCGGCCACACUGGAACUGAGACACGGUCCAGACACCUACGGGUGGCAGCAGUCGAGAAUCAUUCACAAUGGGGGAAACCCUGAUGGUGCGACGCCGCGUGGGGGAUAAGGUCUUCGGAUUGUAAACCCCUGUCAUGUGGGACAUUAAAAGAUAGUACCACAAGAGGAAGAGACGGCUAACUCUGUGCCAGCAGCCGCGGUAAUACAGAGGUCUCAAGCGUUGUUCGGAAUCACUGGGCGUAAAGCGUGCGUAGGCGGUUUCGUAAGUCGUGUGUGAAAGGCGGGGGCUCAACCCCCGGACUGCACAUGAUACUGCGAGACUAGAGUAAUGGAGGGGGAACCGGAAUUCUCGGUGUAGCAGUGAAAUGCGUAGAUAUCGAGAGGAACACUCGUGGCGAAGGCGGGUUCCUGGACAUUAACUGACGCUGAGGCACGAAGGCCAGGGGAGCGAAAGGGAUUAGAUACCCCUGUAGUCCUGGCAGUAAACGGUG
rnacentral:rRNA from 1 species